rnacentral:pre_miRNA from 1 species
GGCCUUCCUCUUUGGGGCGAUCGAUCACGGGGCUCCGCUAUUGAUAGCCCCAAAGAGGUAGGCC